GAUGAAGAACGUAGCGAAAUGCGAUAAGUAGUGUGAAUUGCAGAAUUCAGUGAAUCAUCGAAUCUUUGAUCGCACAUUGCGCCCUUUGGUAUUCCUUAGGGCAUGCCUGUUCGAGCGUCAUUUAAACCUUCAAGCUCAGCUUGGUGUUGGGUGACUGUCCGCUUCACCGCGGACUCGCCUCAAAAUUAUUGGCGGCCGGUACAUUGGCUUCGAGCGCAGCAGAAACGCGAACUCGGGCCCGUCGUAUUGGCUCCCAGAAGCUAUCUUCACAAUUUUGACCUCGGAUCAGGUAGGGAUACCCGCUGAACUUAAGCAUAUCAAUAAGCGGAGGA
rnacentral:misc_RNA from 1 species